rnacentral:rRNA from 1 species
CACGCCGUAAACGGUGGGCGCUAGGUGUGGGGAACAUUCCACGUUCUCCGUGCCGCAGCUAACGCAUUAAGCGCCCCGCCUGGGGAGUACGGCCGCAAGGCUAAAACUCAAAGGAAUUGACGGGGGCCCGCACAAGCGGCGGAGCAUGCGGCUUAAUUCGAUGCAACGCGAAGAACCUUACCUAGGCUUGACAGUUGGGGAAAUCUGGCAGAGAUGUCAGGUCCGCAAGGGCCACAAAACAGGUGG